rnacentral:rRNA from 1 species
AUACGGAGGAUCCGAGCGUUAUCCGGAUUUAUUGGGUUUAAAGGGUGCGCAGGCGGGAGCUUAAGUCAGCGGUUAAAUGGUGCGGCUCAACCGUGCCCUGCCGUUGAAACUGGGUUUCUUGAGAGUGCAAGAGGCGGAUGGAAUUCAUGGUGUAGCGGUGAAAUGCUUAGAUCUCAUGAAGAACUCCGAUUGCGAAGGCAGUCCGCUGGGGCACGUCUGACGCUGAUGCUCGAAUGUGCGGGAAUCAAACAGGAUUAGAUGCCCUGGUAGUCCGCACGGUAAACGAUGAUUACCCGCUGUCGGCGGCAGACAGUCGGCGGCCAAGCGAAAGCGAUAAGUAAUCCACCUGGGGAGUUCGCCGGCAACGGUGAAACUUAAAGGAAUUGGCGGGG